CCUACGGGAGGCAGCAGUGAGGAAUAUUGGUCAAUGGGCGCGAGCCUGAACCAGCCAAGUCGCGUGAGGGAAGACGGUCCUAUGGAUUGUAAACCUCUUUUGUCGGGGAGCAAAAGACGCCACGCGUGGCGUUCCGAGAGUACCCGAAGAAAAAGCAUCGGCUAACUCCGUGCCAGCAGCCGCGGUAAUACGGAGGAUGCGAGCGUUAUCCGGAUUUAUUGGGUUUAAAGGGUGCGCAGGCGGAAGAUCAAGUCAGCGGUAAAAUUGAGAGGCUCAACCUCUUAGAGCCGUUGAAACUGGUUGUCUUGAGUGAGCGAGAAGUAUGCGGAAUGCGUGGUGUAGCGGUGAAAUGCAUAGAGAUCACGCAGAACACCGAUUGCGAAGGCAGCAUACCGGCGCUCAACUGACGCUCAUGCACGAAAGUGUGGGUAUCGAACAGGAUUAGAUACCCGGGUAGUC
rnacentral:rRNA from 1 species